rnacentral:rRNA from 1 species
GACGAACGCUGGCGGCGUGCUUAACACAUGCAAGUCGAACGGAAAGGCCCUGCUUGCAGGGUCCUCGAGUGGCGAACGGGUGAGUAACACGUGGGUGAUUUGCCCUCCACUUCGGGUUAAGCCUGGGAAACUGGGCCUAAUACCGGAUAGGAGCCAUUUUUAGUGUGAUGGUUGGAAAGUUUUUUCGGUGUAGGGUGAGCUCGCGGCCUAUCAGCUUGUUGGUGGGGUAAUGGCCUACCAAGGCGGCGACGGGUAGCCGGCCUGAGAGGGUGGACGGCCAAAUUGGGACUGAGAUACGGCCCAGGCUCCUACGGGAGGCAGCAGUGGGGAAGAUUGCACAAUGGGCGCAAGCCUGAUGCAGCGACGCCGCGUGGGGGAUGACGGCCUUCGGGUUGUAAACUCCUUUCGCUAGGGACGAAGCUUUUUGUGACGGUACCUAGAGAAGAAGCACCGGCUAACUACGUG